AGCAGGCAUAGAGUUUCGAUUCUUGAAAAGGUGCAAACCCGCAUGUAGCCCUGCAGUAAUCUUGUUGUUUCUUACUGAUAACAAAAGAAAGUCCACUCUGUCAAAGAAAAUAAGAACUUUAUCUUAAUUUCGUGUCAGUAUGGAAUUCGGAAGAACAAAGCUAAAUCAACAGGGGACAUUCCAAAAUUCCCAAUUGAAUAUGCUCGCUAAUGAUAAGAGAUCUCCUGUCCACAAUGUUGAUAGCAAAAAACAGGAAUAAAAGGUGGUCAAAAAAAGGAAGAGUCAGUCAGCCAGUUCUGAGAGUCAAAAACAGGAAGAGUCGCUCAAGGGUCACUGAACGGACCAGACAUGUCCAUGAGUCACUCCGAGGUCUCCACACAGACCGGAUGUCUCUGGGGUUUGCUUUCAGACUCUGGAUAGAAG
rnacentral:lncRNA from 1 species